GAUGAACGCUGGCGGCGUGCCUAAUACAUGCAAGUCGAGCGAACAGAUAAGGAGCUUGCUCCUUUGACGUUAGCGGCGGACGGGUGAGUAACACGUGGGUAACCUACCUAUAAGACUGGAAUAACUCCGGGAAACCGGGGCUAAUGCCGGAUAACAUUUAGAACCGCAUGGUUCUAAAGUGAAAGAUGGUUUUGCUAUCACUUAUAGAUGGACCCGCGCCGUAUUAGCUAGUUGGUAAGGUAACGGCUUACCAAGGCAACGAUACGUAGCCGACCUGAGAGGGUGAUCGGCCACACUGGAACUGAGACACGGUCCAGACUCCUACAGGAGGCAGCAGUAGGGAAUCUUCCGCAAUGGGCGAAAGCCUGACGGAGCAACGCCGCGUGAGUGAUGAAGGUCUUCGGAUCGUAAAACUCUGUUAUUAGGGAAGAACAAAUGUGUAAGUAACUGUGCACGUCUUGACGGUACCUAAUCAGAAAGCCACGGCUAACUACGUG
rnacentral:rRNA from 1 species